AACCAUUCUCACCUGCGGCUAGACCUGCGGAGGGAUCAUUAGUGAAUUUGUAGCCUCCCAAGGCUCACAUUCUCUAUCCUUUACACACCUGUGCACCCUUCUGAAGCGGAGAGUUAUUAGGCAUUAGCCGAGGGCCUCCCUUCGGUCAUUAUAUCAACCUCAAACCACGUUUACUAGAAUGUAUACCGUCUUGUUGUAACGACAAGUACAAUCCAAUAAAACUUUUAGCAAUGGAUCUCA
rnacentral:misc_RNA from 1 species